GUGCUUGCUUUGGCAGUACAUAUACUAAAAUUGGAAUGACACAGAGAAGAUCAGCAUGGCCCCUGUGCAAGCAUGACAUUCAAAUUCAUGAAGUAAUCCAUAUUUGG